UGGCCAAGGAUGAAAACCACAGUCUGAUUGGGCAUGCUUUCCAUGCUCUGAUGGGUUAAAGGAUUUACCUGAGGCCA
rnacentral:snoRNA from 15 species